GUGUCAUUGUGAUGUUGGCCCGGUUCACUCAGACAAAAACGAUGUGUUUUCUCAAGCAUUUGUUUUUCGAAACGCUUGAUAUGUUAACACAAGCAUAAUGGCCUUUGAUUGAGCCGUGCCAAUAUCUUAGUGCUCUUU
rnacentral:pre_miRNA from 9 species